AUUGAACGCUGGCGGCAGGCCUAACACAUGCAAGUCGAACGCGUUGCGUCCUCGUGUUUAAUGUCUGGGACACUGCCCGAUGGAUGUUGAUAACUUCUGGUAACUGUAUCUAAUACCGCAUACCUUCGCAUGUUCCCAGAUGGGAUUAGCUAUUAGGUGGGGUAACGGCUCACCUAGGCGACGAUCCCUAGCUGGUCUGAGAGGAUGACCAGCAAGACUGGAACUAAGACACGGUCCAGACUCCUGCGGAAGACAGCAGUGGGGAAUAUUGCACAAUGGGCGCAAGCCUGAUGCAGCCAUGCCGCGUGUAUGAAGAAGGCCUUCGGGUUGUAAAGUACUUUAAGCGAGGAGGCGUUAAUCGAAGAAGAAGCACCGGAUAACUCCGUGCCAGCAGCCGCGGUAAUAA
rnacentral:rRNA from 1 species